rnacentral:precursor_RNA from 15 species
GCAGCAGCCAGUGGACUGCUCUCCUGGCACUCUGCUACACAGCCAGAGCGUCCGUGAGCCACAAGUGGAUGUCCCGGCUGUGAGUAGCGUGCAGGGAAUGGAGGAAGAACAACAAAAGGA